rnacentral:rRNA from 1 species
ACUUCUCGGCAACGGAUAUCUCGGCUCUCGCAUCGAUGAAGAACGUAGCGAAAUGCGAUACUUGGUGUGAAUGCAAAAUCCCGAACAUCAGCUGAACGCAAGUUGGCCGAGGUUGGUCGAGUACUCGGUGUCA